GGCUGGCGAAGGAGGGCUCGGGGAGGCGGGUGGGUGUAUCUUGCUACUGUCUCUGCCCAAUCUCCGAGCCGGGGAAGGAGUACCUUAUGAAUAUGAAAAGCACCCCAGCUCCCUCUGUUCCCUCCCUUUCUGUCCUCCUCUCCUUGGCCAUGAAGGCAGCGGCGGAGCAGCUGUGAAAUCCGGAUGCUGGGGACCAGCGGAGAAGAUCUCUUCCUUUUGGGCACCUCAAAGAUGCUUCCUAGCUAAAGAGAAGAUGGGCGUUCAGGGCUCAUCCGCCGGUGCCAUGGGAUUUGCUUGUUUCUAUGCAAACUUCUCCUCCACCGUGAGACGUCGGAUGGGGCUGCCUGCGUUCCUUGCCAUCUGCUUCGUUCUGCUGAGCUUCUGCAGCUUGCCAUGCCUCGCUUUCCGCAGUCCGGAGGGAAGGCACAUCAGGAGACUACAGAGGGCCUUAGCAGCAGGGAUCGGCUCGGAAGAUGUGGCCAACGCGAGCCUCUCAAGCCCAGAAAGUAACUUCAGUUUACCUUUGCAAACAACCAGCACCCUUGCCUCCGAAAGCUUGUACAGAACCCCAUCAGAGCCAUCUGGGAGUUCGGUCUACACAGCCACCACCAUUAAAGCAACACUGCAGAGCAUUUUGGGCGUUCCCGGUUUCUUGGGAGGCCAGAAUUCGGAUAUUUCUAGCAUUGCAGAGGCAGGAGUUGAGGCAAACGAAAGGCAGUUCCUUACCAGUGAACCCAAUAAAGAGCUGGAUCAGAAGGCGACAGUUUUGACUCCUCUAGUUUCUAAUGUUCAGGAUGAUGUCCCAGAUAGAGACAGUGGUGGGGGAGUGGGACCUAUCUCUCCAGGGGAUUUAUAUGGGGAAGUUUUUACACCCAUUAUCCCAGAAAGCAUCAGCUACUCAGCCACAGUCCAGCCAAUCACACGAGGACAGAUGGCAAGUCUUCCUUUUACAAUGUCUGGUGACCAAACCACAAAUCCAUCCCCUCCCCUUGGCCGUGCAGUCGAUUCUGAGCAAACCCCAAACGGAGGUAGGCCAUUGGUUUCAGAAGGCACAGAGUCUACUGUAAAGCCCACUUUACUUCCCACCAAUGGGGAUAUUGGCUUGGAAGUGGGUGCCUCCACCAAUCCAGGGCAACCCAAAGGCAACCCCACCGGUGCUCCUGGUGCCGUGCCAAUGAGCGACGACUGGGAUGAUACAAAACUUGCACCGAGCACUCAUGCAAGGGCAACACAGCUGGAAAUGGUGAGCCAGCUCCACAUAGUCACCGAACUUUACCCUUCAGCAGAAGGAGAGGAGGAAGAAGAUGAUGUCAAAAGGGUCCCGCCACGGAUUUUGGCAGCGAAAGAAAGCGAAGGUAUUCUGACUGCCGCAAGCUUGGUCUCCACUCAGGGUGGACCAUCCACUAUGUCCUCAACCGGCUUGGAUCAUGUCCAAACCACUCAUCCAUCAAUGAAGUCUGAAGAUCCUGCUGAAGGCAGAGAGGAAAAGCCAGGGACAGCUGAGACGCAACAUCCAGAGACCGCCACCACAACCGACGUCACCAAAUCCAGCAUCUUCCAAAGCCAAGGAGUUCCCAUAAGAGGGGCAGCAACGGCAUCCCACGACUUUGAUGAUCUCUUCCCAGCUGUGACACCUGGAGACUUCACUACUCAAGAACAUCAGGCGACCGAAGAAAGAGCGUCAGUCACUCUUCCUGGUGCUUCCCCAUUGCUGAAGCAGUCUGAAAUCUCUGCAAAUACUGCAUCCCCUACCUACGUUACUGUUGUUGAAACAUUGGAUGUUGGAGUUCCUGCCACAUCUCAAGAAAAGGCCGGGGUUGCUUCCAUUGCUGAAGCUCCGACUGAACCAAGAGUGCGGACGGAAGAGAUCUUUGGCGUGACCGAAGCCAUGGCCGCUCCUCCUUCCUCGGCAUCUGCCACAAGGAAGACCACCGUCCCUGCCACGCACCAGAUAACCACGGCUGCCACCUAUGAGCUGGACAGACUGGAAUCGGAAGGUAACUGUAUUAAGUGGUUUCUAGGUAGAGCCGACUUACAAAUGACUCCUAGUUAUGAAUGGGGGCAAGACAACAGGAAGUGAGAAAAAUCUACCUCUAGGAAAGGAAAUUCACUCUUGGAAGAAUUAUUAUCCUGGCCACCUAUACGACACAAAUUUUCGUCUUGCUUACGAAAAAACCCAAAAAUUUUCGGACUGUGAAAAUUGCCACACAUGGAGGGCAUUUCGACCCCUUUUAGCCCACCAACUUUUAAAACAUUUGGGUCUCCCCCAGAGUACUAUUGUUAUUAAUAUUAUUAUUAUUAUCAAGACCC
rnacentral:lncRNA from 11 species